UUGAACUCCAAAGGGAGUUCUUCUAACAUUUGAACUACGUAUUUGUUGCAUCUUGAGGGGGACAGGAAACAACCUUGUGGGACUCUUUUGUAAUAAUAUUGUCGGCCUCUAAAUGUAAAUGCAAGUUUGUACCAGCAUUUUUCAGCCAAUGGGACGGAGUGAAAGCAGUUUGCUAUGUCAAUCACACUAAAGUACUUUGCUCCUCCUGCUAUGGCAGCAAUAACCUGUGGAUAACUGGCUACCACUGGAGCUACAGCUGGAGUGACGCUGUUUAAGGCCCGAAAGUCUACUACUAACCUGUACAUCCAAGAAAGAAGGGAUACGGUAUCCUAAUGCCAGUUUUAGGGCAUGGUACUCCAUUAUUACAAUAAAUAAAUGGGAGACCUUGAUCAAUCAUUGUUGGUGUGACCACUUCAUAUCUACAUCUUCUUACUAGCAAGUAUUCUUUCCCACAAUCCAGAGACUGACUUGCCAAGGGAGGCCAGAGAUGAAGAGACCCAGGAGGAGCAUAAGGAGUUUCAGGCCACCCACGAAGAAGACAACACUCUGAGGGCCUUACGUGAGAGCAUGGUGAGCAAAGACCACACCUGGGCAGGACACUAAGGGGCCCAAUGCAGCCAGCCCACAGCAUGAUGGCCCACACCAUGGGGACUCGCAGAAGAUGGUGAGACUAUUCUGGAACUGGACCACAGUUUGCCCAUCACCCAGACCUCCCAACUAAGGGGUCUACUUAAGACAUUCUCUCAGUGCCUGGGAUGGACAUCGGUCCUAGCCCACGCCAUACCUACUCAACCCAGGUGAUUGACCCGGGCAGUCUGAACUUUGGAGACUUCUUCUGUGAAAGCAGUGGGAGAUGGUGGUGUGGGAGAUCAAAGAGAUGUUGUGCCUUAAAACAAUCAAGCCCUUUUAUAGCAUUUGGCAGAACUAUAUCAUCCCGGUCCCCAAGCCUGAUGGAAGCAUCAGGUUAUCUUUAGAUUAUUGAGUGGUCAGUAAAAUUGCACAAUUUUAUGCCUUUAAUAUGCCCUGGGCUGACGUGCUCAUUGACCAGUUGGGCAUGGCUCUCUACCUCUACACACUGACCUGACCAAGGGCUACUGGCAGGUUCCAUGGUCCCCAAAGACUGAGAAAAGACAGCUUUUACCAUCCCUGAAGGAUUCUUCCAAUUCAAGGUCAUGCCAUUCAGCCUUUAUGGGGUGGCAGCUAUCUCUCAACAGAUAGUUGAUAAAAUAUUGGCCCAGUGUGAAUGCACCUUGGUGUACAUAGAUAAUAUAAUCUUCUUUGGUCCUGACUGGCAAACUCACCUCCAACAUCUACAUAAUGUGCUCCAAUACCUAAAUUGGGAUAGUCCAAAGAUCAACCCAGGGAAAAGUAAGAUCAGAUUCCAGGAAUUAAGGUACUUGGGAUACUUCUUGGAAAAGGGGCAACAGUGACUCCUUUAAGAAAAAAAUAGCAACCCUUGAGCAGAGUCCCCUGCCAUCCCCCAAGAAGCAAAUCCAAUGGUUCUUAGGACUCAUGGGGUAUUAUAUUAAGAUCGUACUACACUUCAGUGGUCUGGCUAACCUAAUACUAUGGUGUGUGUGGACCCCAAGUGCCAACAAGUGUUUCUGGAUCUCAAAGCUGCACUGCCUAAUGCUCCUGUCCUCAGAAAUCCUGACUUCAACAUACUCUUUAUACUAGUCCAAAUAGACACCUUGGGAACCAGGUUGAGUGCUGUCCCCGCUCAAGAUGUAGAAGGUGAAGAACUGCUGAUUCUUUUCCUGAACUGAAAGCUGCAGGCCACAGAGCACAAUUAUAUGACAGUGGAGAAGGAGGCCCUGGUCAUCAGGUGGUCUGUUGAGGCCUUUUAUAUUACCUAACUAACAACCCCUGUAAAUUGUUCAUGAACCAUGCUCCUCUGUUCUGGAUGUCCAGAAUAAAAAUGAUGGUAGAAUGGUGGAUAUGACACAUUUCUAGUUAAUUUUACAAUGGACAAAUAACCUAGGAAUUUCAUGGGUUCUCCAAUGCAAAUAUCAGAAACAUUUCACAACAUUAUUUGUAAGCCAAUUUGGUGUAGUGGUUAAGAGUGCAGGACUCUAAUCUGGAGAACUGGGUUUGAUUCCUCACUUCUCCACUUGAAGCCCCCUGGGUGACCUUGGGUCAGUCACAGCUUCUAGCUCUCUCAGCCCCAUCCAUCUCACAGGGUGUUUUGUUGUGGGGAUAAUAAUAACAUAGUUUGUAAACUGCUCUGAGUGGGUGUUAAAUCAUCCUGGAGGGCAGUAUACAAAAUGAAUGUUGUUGUUGUUGUUGUUGUUAAGGGAAAUUUGUAUUCAAAUUUGAUUGUCAAAUUUGACGGGCCCCUAUUUGACAAGCGUGGUUGAGUGCCUAUCAUGAAGGCAGUGAAAUGGGCAACCCUGCAGAGGGCUUUUUUACAUACUUGAGACAUCCUAUAUAUUUAAAAAUCAUCAUUAUAAAAGCCCCCUCCCGCCUGCUCAUGUCCUGAUGAGGACUGAGCAUGCUCAUUGAGCACUGUAGGUUUGCUAACUCAGGACUUGGAAAUUCUUGGAGAUUUAGGGAUGGAGCCUGGGGAGGACAGUGUCUGGGAAGGGGGGCUCAGAAGGGCACAAUGGCAUCAAGUCCACUCUCCAAAGAUGCCAUUUUCUCCAGAGUAACUGAAGAUCAGUGGUAAUUCCAGGAGGUCUCCAGCCCCCACUUGGAGGUUGGCAGUGUUAAUGUUGAGUCCGAUAAAGCUCCCACAAGCUUACAGUAUCCUGAAGAAGAAGAUUUCAUUCAGGGAAUGAAAAAAAAUCCCAAUCCUUUCGCGCCUUGUCAUGAUUUUUCAAAGGACCUUCGCUCAUUCGUUCUAGUAAAAGCAUGUGGAAAAGGAAUGAUUGCUUAAGUUGGUGGUAUAUUAAAAUGUUUUCUGCUGCUUUGUUGCUGAAAAACAGAAGAAAAUCAUGAGAUGUAUAAUUAGAAGAAGGGACCAGUCUCCAUGCCUACUGUCAGGCUCUACCAGUUAGAUCCUUCUUUGCUUAGCUGUGUGAGUUGCACUGUUCUUGUCCCUGCAGUUAGAGGAGAGAAGGCUCCCCUUUGUCAUUUGUGUCUUGAGAUGGAGUACCUGUGGAUGCUUGUAAGAGUUCUGAGUCCAGCAGUGCUAAAUAUCCACUUGUUUGUUCUGUAUCUUGGCUGUUUAGGAUAAGUCUUCCCUUCUACCAUGUAUGGCAUGAGAAAUGCCUGAUGUUCAAGCUGGAUUUAUAAAAGUUAGAGGCACGAGAGAUCAUUUUGUAAAUUUACAUUGCUCACUGGACCAUACUAGAGAAUUUCAGAAGAAAAUCCAUUUGUGUUUUAUGGAUUUCAGCCAGUGCUUUCUGCUAAAAGUAAGCAGAAAUCCUCUUGCUUUUCCUCUCUUCCCAUGUGCUCUGGGUGGCUGCGUACCUGCACUCCUAGAGAGGGUAAAAGCAGGAGAAAGGGGGCUGUGGUUUAUAAUCCCUCCUAGAGCACAGGAGGAGAGAGGGAGGUGGGUGAGCAGCUGGGAGGGGAGAAGGUUGCUGGUGGCCAAGUGGAGGGCUGAGAGGGAAUCCUUCCUCUCUCCCAUCCCCCAGCAAGCCCACGUUCCUCUGCCUUUGAAACUAUUGUUCCCAGGUACUGCACCACCAAACACCCAUGCCCAGGUUCUCAUUGAGCUUGACUCAUAGAAGUUCCAUUGUGAGAAGUAGUCCAGUGUUUGUGUGCCCGUUCUCUCCCUUUGGGUUAUGUUAGAGUGAGAGUUGUGAUGAGUUGCCCCAGUUUUGGGAAUCAUCCCAAUUCUUCUUCCCAUCGAGCUUCUUUAUUAGAGAUCCAUCAGUAUCAGGGCACUCAGACAGCAGCAUUGGCAGAAGUGACGUAAAGGGGGAAAGCAAUGUUAGUUAUAGGGCAGGGUUGACACAACACCUGAUUGUGUCUUUGGAGGAAAUCAAAGAGAACAAGGAACUUCAGAGAAUUUUUUUCCUUAGAAAAACAUAUUGGAAAACCUUCUUUUAUUUUAAAAAUUUAUUGUGCUUGCAAU